UCGGCCUCCCAAAGUGCUGGGAUGACAGGCUUGAGCCACCGCGCCCGGCCUUAAAAAUUAUUUUACUUUGUUCUUGACUCUUUAGUUUCAGAAGCAGAUUAAGGAAAAGCUUAUUAGGAAGUCUAGAGCCAUAGGCACUGUAGAAAUUACCAGCCCCCAAAAGUCAAUAUCCAAUUACUGUACCUUUUUGGCUGUUCCACGUAAUUAACCAUGCUGCUUGAUCCAAGUGAAGCCAGGGGGAAAGCCGGGCACUGUUAGAUGGUGUAGCUCCUUGCUUAACCCCUCAUGUUGUAGUGCAAAGAUGAGUGCCCACUUACCUGGAUCUCUCAGGCGAUGACAUUUUCCAAAAGAUUUUCUUCUGGUCCCUCUUGAGAACAAUAUAAAGAGUAUGUAAUUCAGAGAGAGAUUACUUUGAAUUUGACUAAAAGAGAAGUACAAAGGCUUUGUUUUUUCAGAUCCUAUCAAAUUAAUACUGUCACAUUUGGAAAAUGUUGCUGUGUUUUAAUAGAUCUCUUAGAAGCAUGUCUCUUAUGCAAAUAGUAAUUGUGGUUUUUAAAGCUAAUAUAAAUGGGAUUCAUUUACUUAAAAUCAAGCCACCUUGUAGCUGUGAGUAGUUUUCCCAUUUUGUUGAAGGUAAGUACAAUUUUUAAUUAGCUACAUUUGGUUGCAGGAGAGGUUAAAGAAUAGAUUUAAGUAGGCAUGUCCAAAAAGGACAGAAAGUCCCGCAAAGCAAUUGUCAGCAGGGAUUAGAUCUCUGGAUGUCCUUGUUUGUCAGGAAAAGCCUUCCGUGUAUCCAGUAGCUUCUGAAAAUGUUAAUGUGGCACUGUGCAGGGAGUCAAGGGAACAAUCUUCUCAUUUUCAGUACAGGAUGCUAGGGAAAGCCUGUCGCUACGUGUGCGUGGGUGUGUGAGUGAGGGCUGGCUGUGCACUCUACCUCUCUGGCUGAAGUAAGUUGCAGUGCAGCUUUGCCUUUUCAUGGGCUUGGGUGUGGGGAAUCCCUCCUACCAAGAGUAUUUUGGGAAAUUCCUAAAUGCUGAUGUGUUCUCAGCUCUAUAUAAUGCCCUUGUUGGAGUGAGUAGCAAAACGCACAUGGAGAAUGAUUUUAAAGCACCAGUCAACCAAUUCCUGCAUUGAAGUCCCAACACCAGCAUUUUGGUCUAGGUCUAGUAUCUGUCUUUCAUGUUGCAAAAUUCACCAAAGAAGAUGGGGGAAAAGACAUUCCCUGAAUCUGUACCCAUGAAUGUUGGAAUUUGCUAUAGAAAGAGAAGAGAAAUAAUUCUCAGGUAAUUCCAGUGCCUUCCCUCUUCCUUCUUCCACCCCCAGUUAGGGGUUGGGGGAGAAGCUACAUGAAUGUUGUAUGUAUUUUGUAACUCCCAGAAGCCUAAACAAACAUCUAGAGAUUUUGAAUGGAAUGAAAUGUAAGGUGAAUCAUAUACACUCCUCUUAGAAAUUGUGGUAUUAAAAAAAAGACUGCAACAUGAUUCUGAUGUAUUUUAUUUUUGAAUUCUAUUGUAGAUGAAUGGAGAUGAUGAUAUAAAAAGUAUGAUAUAAAAGUUGAAGUGUACAUCUCUUAUUAAAUAUCUGAUUGCUUGAUUAAAUAACUCUGGAUAUUCCUGGGAUUCCCUGGUAUUUAUUUAUAGCUCUGUAUCUAGGGAAGGCUGGUGCUACAUAAUAAAAGCUACUAGGUGUGCUUUAUGCCACUAUGCUCAGAAAGCUUUGAUUGCAGAAGUUCUUUUGUGAAUAACACCACUUCAGUUGAAAUAUAAUCUCCUAGGAUCUCAAAUCCAGUAUUUAUUUUAAAUCAUAAUAGUGCUUUUCAUUUUUGUUACAGAGAACUAAGAAACAAAGAAACAUAUUGUGGUCUGACAAAGAUAGAUCAGAUAUUUUGGAAGCAUUUUAAAAUCUUGAAAGCCUUGCUCUAUUCGUACAUAAUUAGUGGAUAUUCUUCAGAGUGAUUGUUUCUCCCCAGAAGAAAUAGUGUUCAUAUUCUAUAUUCUUGAUAGUCUUAGAAGUUGGGGAGGGGGGUGGCAAACAUACUAAAAUUUAAAGUGAAAUCAUCUUCUCAUUGUUAAGAGGUAACAAGUGGUGGCACAUUUUACCUUUGUUGCCCUGCCUUGUUCCCAACAGUUUCAAAUUAAUGGUGAGUAUUAUAUCAUUUUAGAUCCUUUAAAUUAUGGAAUGACUAUAGUGUCUUAAAAUCACAUGUAUGAAGCUCAGCUGCUGGCUGGCUCUCUCUUACCAUAGUUAAAAAGUUGUGCAAAAUGAACUGAAUUUUAAUGUCAUGUAUAGACUGUAAACCGUAACCAUUAGUAUUCAUUAUUUCACUUCUUUUUGAUUUUCACUCUCUUCACAACCUCCCUACCUAUACCCCAGUUCGGGGGAAGAAUGUCAGUGUUUUUUAUGCUAGUCCUUGGAUGAAUUAUCUUCAGAGAAUGUUUCUCUUUUUAAGAAACAGUGCGGAAAAGGCUAUGCCUUUUCUUUCUCUUUCUUUGAGGUUUUAUCUUAGUUAUAUUGCUUGUUUAGAUAUAGGAUAAGUUAUUUUUAUUUUUAUUUCCAGGAAGCCUUUCAGCCCAAUGUGCUUUCCCAUAGUUAUUGAAAUGCCACAAAUCACCGGUGCAACUAAUCUGAAUAAUUAGUAACUGAGUACAGGUAUACUGGUUGUAAAAUUAUCUCUACAUCUUUAUGUAAGAAUAGUAAUUACAUGAAUUUACUUUUAAUUUUUUUCCCUGCUGAACAUGUUUUCUUUUAUGUAGGAAAUUCUUUCUAAAUGCCAAACUAAAAA